ensembl:rRNA LOC120102602 5.8S ribosomal RNA
GACUCUUAGCAGUGGAUCGCUUGGCUCGUGCGUCGAUGAAGAAUGCAGCCAGCUGCAAGAAUUAAUGUGAAUUGCAGGACACAUUGAUCAUGGACACUUCAACGCACUUGCGGCCCCAGAUUCCUCCUGGGGCUACGCCUGUCUGCCUGUCU